GUCGGCCGCUCAUUUUUGUUUCGUGAAAUCUGCAUAGAAUCAAAAGAGUGAAGAAGAGUGUGAAUUCGCCAUGAGGGCUAAGUGGAAGAAGAAGCGUAUGAGGAGAUUAAAGCGGAAGAGACGAAAGAUGAGACAGCGAUCUAAGUAGAGAGAGAGAGAGAGAAAGAGAGGA